ACUCCUACGGGAGGCAGCAGUGGGGAAUAUUGCACAAUGGGCGCAAGCCUGAUGCAGCCAUGCCGCGUGUAUGAAGAAGGCCUUCGGGUUGUAAAGUACUUUCAGCGGGGAGGAAGGCGAUAAGGUUAAUAACCUUGUUGAUUGACGUUACCCGCAGAAGAAGCACCGGCUAACUCCGUGCCAGCAGCCGCGGUAAUACGGAGGGUGCAAGCGUUAAUCGGAAUUACUGGGCGUAAAGCGCACGCAGGCGGUCUGUCAAGUCGGAUGUGAAAUCCCCGGGCGCAACCUGGGAACUGCAUUCGAAACUGGCAGGCUAGAGUCUUGUAGAGGGGGGUAGAAUUCCAGGUGUAGCGGUGAAAUGCGUAGAGAUCUGGAGGAAUACCGGUGGCGAAGGCGGCCCCCUGGACAAAGACUGACGCUCAGGUGCGAAAGCGUGGGGAGCAAACAGGAUUAGAAACCCGAGUAGUCCCAUGA
rnacentral:rRNA from 1 species